rnacentral:lncRNA from 1 species
AGAAAAGGAGUCAAAAGCAGCUCGUUACCUCCUUUGGCAGGAUUCGUGUUGCUCUUGCCCUCCCUUCUUGAGCUCUAAGUAAACAAACUCCCUAGCUGAGGAAGGCCCCAAGCCCCACUCCAGCCAGGCCAUAAAUAAGAGCCCUUCAGGCUUUCCCUCUUGGAGCAGAGAGGGCCCUUCCGAGUGGAACAUUUGAUAGCGGGGGAGGGUGAGGGGAGAGCACUAGUGUUAAUUGAAUCCCAAUUUCCUUCUCCCAGGCCCGCUCUUAUCUUUUUAAUUAUACAAAGCCUUUCAUCUUCCUGAGGGCUUGUCUCUGUCAUUAAUGUGUGAUCCUGAUGAGAGAUAGGGGUCUGCUCAGGCUAAUGGGAGCCACCAGCCAGCAGAGGCCUUUGGAAACUUUUCUGCUUUUCAAAAUACUCGGUUACCCAGGGCACAUCCAGGUGAGGAGGGAGCAGCUUGGGGCUCCUCUCAGCUCUCAGGGAAUCUUCCUCUGGCUGUGUUUGAGACGGUGCAACUCUGGGGUUUGGGGAAAAGGGCCUCCUCAGGCCACUCUCUGCGUUUGGCACCUGGCAGCUAAAGGACAAAUGAGCCACUUGCAAGGGGAGGAACAUGAUGCCAUCUGUUUGGGGAAGACCUUGUGGAGUUGCACUAGAAGGACUGGUGAACCCGGAAGCUGGGAGGUGGGUGAUGGGAGUUUGUGAUAACCUGGGCAUGAGGUGAUGUGGACCUGAGCACGGGCAAUCUCGGAAGGGAUGGAGAAGAAGUGGAGGAUACCAAAGACACUGCACAGGCGAAUGGAAGACACUUGGGCAGGGAGGAGGAGGAAAGGGCUUUCUCUGACCAUGGUACAGUGAGUUACUCUCCACCCCUGCUUCUCACACCCAGCUUCCCACAACUUCCCACGCUGGGAAUAAUCCCUGAGUAGAACCUUUGACAUGUAUGCCAAUUUGCUGGCCUUCUAACUUUGCUCAGAGCCCCAGCAUCCCCUCCUUCCUCUGCUUUCCUAAAUUUGGAUGCUCUUCCUUAUAAUGACUGUCAUAGUCAUAGCGAUAAUAAUUAUGAAGGCAAUAGUAAGAUUCUGAAUGGACUGAGAGCCUUUCUUCUGAGGAGGCUAUCAUGUUUGAGGUGAGGUGGAGGGAGUCUUACCAGAAAUAUGAUUGGAUCCCAUUUGGUUGGGAAGAAAACACCCCUCAGCUCUGUGUUUCUGGCCUCUGUUCCUGAGUAAGAACGCAUCUUUCUCCUUAGUAAGGGCAAAAUAGCCUCCUGCUCCCUCGUAGGCAUCUUCUGGCUGAAGAUUUGCUGAUAGUGAUGGAGAAGGAUGCUUAGCUCUUGUCUUCUCUCCUCACCUCUGGGAAGCCUUCCCUGGUACUUUCAGUGUACAGAGACCUCAGGCUCUCUUAUUGUUCAGCCAUGCAGUUGGCUUCUAAUGACACAUAAUAUAUCACAGCAUUUCAUGAAUUACUAAGCCUGUUUGAAUUCAUGACCUCAUUUAAUUCUUACAACCCCAGAGACUAUUGUUAUUAUUAUUAUUAUUAUUAUUAUUGUUCCCACUUUACAAAUGUAUUUGUUUUUUCAACAGACAUGCAUGAGGCACCAGUCAUAUGCUGAAACCAGACACUUCCUUAGAGAUUAAGUGACAGACAGAGAUCCAAGCAGGACUCAAACUCAGGUCUUCUUUCUCUGAGCCGCUUUCUUCUUUCC